UUAGUAGUAGUUUAAUAAUUGAGAAUGGUUUAUUGUUAAUARAAUGGUAUAUAGGUAUAUUURSUAUUUACUUUAGUUUAUAUAAAAUGAAAUAUUGAAGCUAUUUUGAAAUGUUAAUUAAGUGAAAAUUGAAUUGAUUUGAUUUAUACAUAAUUAAAUUUAUUAAUAAAAUSUAAUUAGAUUUUGAUAGUAUUUAACAAUAAUAGUAAUUGAUUAUAAGUAAAUUAUUAGGGGGUUAAGAUAAGUGCCAGCAAUCGCGGUUAAACUUUUCUCUAAAUUAUGUUUAUGAAGUUAAAGUAAUAAUAAUCUUAUAUGUAAGUAAAAUUAAAGUAAUAUUAUUUAUUUCUUGAAAAUAAGACUAUAAAAUAAACUUGGAUUAGAUACCCAAUUAUUAUAGAGGUUGUAUAUAUAUAUAUUAUAURURUUUUAGUAAUAUAGAAUUUUAUAAAAAGUAAAUUAUAAAUCUGAUGGUGGGUGUGAAUAUUAGGGGAGUUUAGUUAUUAGAAUCUGAUAAUACGCAACAAAUUUACCUUAUUUAUGGUUUGUAUAUCUUUGUUUAUAUCUAAUUAUAAAUUAUUUAUUAAAUUAUUUUUUUUAUUCAGAUCGAGAUGCAGCAAAUAAGGGAAUAAUAAACUACGAUUAAAGGAAUAUAUUUUUAAUAUAUGGUUGUAAAUAUUAAUAUUAAGGACUUAAAAGUAAUUUUUUUUAGUAUAGGAAGAUGAAUAAUAAUUCAUCCAUAUACAAACUGCCCAAUGAUUACCUUUAGGGUUUAAGUUGUCACAAGGUAAGUUUACUAGAAAGUGGACUUAG
rnacentral:rRNA from 1 species